rnacentral:lncRNA from 1 species
AUAGGGCAUUACUUCUUUUAGUUUGUUGCCUGGACUUGGGAGUUGGGCCCAGAGCUGCAGGAAGGAAAGGACUUAGAAGCCUUACAAAUACAUCUGUGCAUUCUUGCUUCAGACUUUACAACUGAGGGCCAGCCCAGUCUGGAAGCAUCUCUUAUUAAUGUUACAAGGAAACCGCUACCUCAGCAAACAAAAGGAAUGGAGGAGGAGACUUACAACAAACGCCAUUUAAAAAAAAAAGAAAAACUUGUUUUCAGGAAACAUUAGAGGAAAUUUGGAGAAUUUCAGCAUUGCAUAGAAGCAGCCUUACAGGUAAACGGAUUUGACGGGCAGGCUCUGUCAAAAUUCUGCAGAAGUUUGAUCUUCCUUCUUAAGGACUUUGUGUGAAGUAAUUCUUUACUGCUUUUAAAUUGCUGUUGAUCAGCUUCUGGGUUUUUGGGUUCUAACUUUUUUGGGUAUAUUGAAGACACAGUGUAUUACAUUAUAUUACAUUUUUAAACGUUAAGUUAUUUUUCUGCCAUUGUAAAUACAAGUAUCAAAAUAUUCUUGCAAAGAAGUAAACAUUUUUCUCAGCAAGCAUAUCCUUUUAGUAAGAGAGUGGAAUGCUAAACAGUUCUUAUCCAGCAUUUUGGACAUCUUUUAUUUUUUGUCAGAGAUCCUGUCUACACUGAAAAUAUUAAUUAUAUAAACCUGUUGUCUCUCACCUCUACAUUGGAUCACAUGGUCACCUGCCUCAUGGAAAUGCCUUUUUUAAAACUUCGAUUUGCAGAACUCCACUAUUUUUAUACCUAGCUACAGUUUUGAGAAAGAAGAAUCAGAACCCUGACCCACUUACGGUUGCUGGGACAAUUCCCCCUCC